AGUUGAAAAAUGCUUUAUUGUCGACUUUCUUGUUCCUUGACCAAAUUGUUUGGCUCCAUAGAUCAGGCAUCUACAAGAACAAAGAGCGUGCAGAAAUAAUUGGCAGGGUAUCGGCGUAUCGCUCUUCUAAAAAAGGUUAGACUAAGAUGUGGAGUGAAAGUUGAGCUUGCCGACAUAGUACAUUGCCAGCCUUAAUCAUGCAUUAGCAUACUGUAAUGAGAGGCAUGUUAUCCAUCGGGAUAUCAAGCCGGAGAA